CCCUGCCAUUUGUACACACCGCCCGUCGCUCCUACUGAUUGAGUGAUCAGGUGAACCUUCUGGACUGCGCCCAGGCUUGUACUGGGUACGGGAAGUUAUGUAAACCUUAUCACUUAGAAGAAGGAGAA
rnacentral:rRNA from 1 species